UGAUGUCACGUCUGGUCCCGCGAUACAACAUCCACAGUAUUGACGCCGUCUCCAUGGUAUUUCAACAUGGCGGGCAGUGGGAAACAUCUAAUACUUUCCUCCACACCACUGCAGGUUCUCCUUUACCUCAACAGUUGGUAUUUUGCUGUCUUCUUUGUCGCAGAGUGUCUUAUGUUUGUGUAUAAAGGUGUUAUGCUUCCAUAUCCAUCGCCAAAUCUCAUCCUGGACAUUGUGUUGCUUCUUCUCUUUCUUGGUGUAGAAAUCCUCAGACUCUUUUAUGGCUGGAAGGGGAACCUUUGUGAGCACAAGCUGGCCAUGUCAGUGAGUGUGGCUGUGCUGGUGCCAUGCACAGCGCUCUGUGUGUACUAUCUGCUGCUGCAGACGUUUGUGCUGAGGCUUGAGUUUAUACUCAAUGCUAUUCUUUUGUGCUUUUAUGGCUUUGAACUGAUUCUCGGGAUAAUGUGUAUCUCAACUUUCUCUUGGUCAAGUGUAUACUGAUAAAGUCCUCUUUGUCUGGAGAUAAACAAUGUUGAAGAAAUCGGCAAUGAUUGAGAUUUGACUGAGCCUUGGAUGGCCUAGUCACAUGAGAAUAAGAUGAGUGAUACUAUGGGACAUUUGUUCCCAAUUCCACUUGGACGCUGCAUGUGACUCAGGGACAGUUGGGACCAGGGCUCUACUAGUUUGCCAUAAGCCUGCUCUGACAAUACAUUUGAAAGCAGCUGUCUGUUCUAUCGGCUUUUUCUCACAUCCCUCUCAAACCCGGCGUAUCACCUGCUACCACCAUCCCUUAGCUUGUUUCAGCUUCUCAUUGGUAGCAAAACUUGCUGAAAAAGUAAUAUUUCUGCAAUGUUGCUCAGUUGUUCAAUGGUUCUCUCACAUAGGCCUAUGUCUACUUAAAGCAGGCAGAUUUAAAAUAAACUUGAUGUUUUUUGUAUUUA